UACGAGGGGGCGAGCGUUGUUCGGAAUUAUUGGGCGUAAAGGGCGCGUAGGCGGUGCGGUUAAGUCACCUGUGAAACCCCCGGGCUCAACUCGGGGCCUGCAGGCGAAACUGCCGUGCUGGAGUGCGGAAGAGGUGAGUGGAAUUCCCGGGUGUAGCGGUGAAAUGCGUAGAUAUCGGGAGGAACACCUGUGGCGAAAGGCGGCUCAC
rnacentral:rRNA from 1 species